UACGUAGGGGGCUAGCGUUGUCCGGAUUUAUUGGGCGUAAAGAGCGUGUAGGCGGCCAAGUAGGUCCGGUGUGAAAACUCGAGGCUUAACCUCGAGAUGUCAUCGGAAACCAUUUGGCUAGAGUCCGGAAGAGGAAAGUGGAAUUCCUGGUGUAGCGGUGAAAUGCGCAGAUAUCAGGAAGAACACCCAGUGGCGAAGGCGGUCU
rnacentral:rRNA from 1 species